rnacentral:lncRNA from 1 species
CUGAGGUGAUGGGGGGGGGGAGGGGGGGAGUCCGCCGGGAGAUGCUGUUCCGGUGCUAAGACCUCGUGGUGACUCCUGGCAGCCUGUAGACCCACCUCUGAUCGGGACUCGGGUCUAGUUCGCCAAACCAGCGGGGCUCAGAAGAGGGCUGUCACAAAGGGCAUACAUUGGACUAGGGAACGGAAGCGGCUCUUUUUUGUCACGGAACCGCCGAGAGAAGAUGAGAAAACCAGAGCAAACAAAGCCUGAGUGAUUGACACAGCAUCAAACAACUGUAUGGGAAAAAAGAUGCCAAGAAAUCACCACUUCAGAAGGACUGAUACAGUGAGCAUGGCAAAGCAAGGACAAAUGUGAGACCCUCGGACUUUAAUUUGAUCCCUAAAGGGUUGGAUGUUUCUUUGACAGCUUCCUA